AAGGCCUGAUGUGUGUGAGAUUACCCGCUGAAUUUAAGCAUAUAAGUAAGCGGAGGAAAAGAAACUAACUAGGAUUCCCUUAGUAAUGGCGAAUGAACAGGGAUCAGCUCAGUGCCAAAUCGGAAUCACUUGUGGUUCUGAAAUGUGGCUUGAAGGCAGUACCAGUGGCAUCGCGGACGAAAGUCUCUUGGAAAAGAGCGUCAUAGAGGGUGAGAAUCCCGUGAGUCGUUCGCCGUUUGUCACGUACGGUCUGCGUUCUAACGAGUCGCGUUCCUUGGGAUUGGAGCGUAAACGGGUGGUAAAUUUCAUCCAAAGCAAAAUAUAUACUCGAGACCGAUAGCACAAAAGUACCGUGAGGGAAAGGUGAAAAGAACUUUGAGAAGAGGGUUAAAUAGUGCCUGAAAUCGUUGAGAAGGAAGCGGAUGCCGCCGUUGCAUAUGCUGAUUGUAGGAUUGCUGCUCGCUCCUGUCUUCUGCUACUCAUUCACAGACCUGGUCGUGUUGAGCAGUGUUUGGCAGAUGUUAGUGGUGUUUCCUACUUUCAGUCGUCAGCAUCACUGGCUGAGUGGAAAUAAUCCUUGGAUGCUAAUUGGUUCGCUAU
rnacentral:ncRNA from 1 species